rnacentral:rRNA from 1 species
AGCAGCCGCGGUAAUUCCAGCUCCAAUAGCGUAUAUUAAAGUUGUUGCAGUUAAAAAGCUCAUAGUUGAAUUUCGGGAUCAGUUCGCUGGUCGUGCCUCUGGUAUGUACUGGUGUUACUGGUUCCUCCCUUCUGACGAACUGUCAUGUCAUUUAUUUGGUGUGGCAGGGAAUCAGGACUGUUACUUUGAAAAAAUUAGAGUGUUUAAAGCAGGCUCGCGCUUGAAUACAUUAGCAUGGAAUAAUGAAAUAGGACGUUCGAUCCUAUUUUGUUGGUUUCUAGGAUUGACGUAAUGAUUAAUAGGGAUAGUUGGGGGCAUUAGUAUUCAAUUGUCAGAGGUGAAAUUCUUGGAUUUAUUGAAGACUAACUACUGCGAAAGCAUUUGCCAAGGAUGUUUUCAUUAAUCAAGAACGAAAGUUAGGGGAUCGAAGACGAUCAGAUACCGUCGUAGUCUUAACCAUAAACUAUGCUGACUAGGGAUCGGAUGAUGUUAUUUUUUAAUGACU